rnacentral:rRNA from 1 species
CCUUCGGGGUGCCCAGGCGCGAAAACUUUACAAUGCCGGCAACGGGCGAUAGGGAACCUCGAGUGCCAGGUUACAAAUCUGGCUGUCGUGAUGCCUAAAAAGCAUUGCAUAGCAAGGGCCGGGCAAGACCGGUGCCAGCCGCCGCGGUAACACCGGCGGCUCGAGUGGUAACCGUUAUUAUUGGGUCUAAAGGGUCUGUAGCCGGCCGGGUAAGUCUCUUGGGAAAUCUGGCAGCUUAACUGUCAGGCUUUCAGGAGAUACUGCCUGGCUCGAGGCCGGGAGAGGUGAGAGGUACUUCAGGGGUAGGGGUGAAAUCUUGCAAUCCUUGAAGGACCACCAGUGGCGAAGGCGUCUCACCAGAACGGACCUGACGGCAAGGGACGAAAGCUAGGGGCACGAACCGGAUUAGAUACCCGGGUAGUCCUAGCCGUAAACGAUACUCGCUAGGUGUCGGCCACGGUGCGACCGUGGUCGGUGCCGUAGGGAAGCCGUGAAGCGAGCCACCUGGGAAGUACGGCCGCAAGGCUGAAACUUAAAGGAAUUGGCGGGGGAGCAC